GUCACCUAUCCACUAAACAGCAACUUCAAUGUUGAAAGAUUUUUCAACAUUGAAGUUGCUGUUUAGUGGAUAGGUGAG